AGCUCCAACAGCGUAUAUUAAAGUUGCUGCAGUUAAAACGCUCGUAGUUGUUGUCCAACUAUAUGCUGGACCCAGUCUGGGUAUCAGCGAAAUAGUUUAGCAGAAACUCAUGUUUCUGCCAAAACCUUGAGGAAAGAUUAGUGUUCCAAGCAGUUAACCGUUUGUCCUCCCCAGCAUGGUAUUCAACCAAACCGACGAAGAUUGUCAAGUCUUUGUCUAACUAAAUAGAAAUUCCAGGGGGUAUACGUACUUUAAUGUCAGAGGUGAAAUUCCUAGAUUUUUAAAAGACGAUCAAUUGCGAAAGCAUUCACCAAGUGACUUUUCA
rnacentral:rRNA from 1 species